UAUUGUAGGGACACGAUGCCACAAGGAAGUGAAUAUUUCCAGUUUGUCUGACCUUGCUAAGUUCCAAGACCCAUGGAAGAUUAUCAACAAUACAAUGGAUGUUUACCUCGGACGCGUCUCGGGUGUUCCCAUGGAAACAGCAAAACAUUUUCACUGCGUGCGCUCCUCAUACCAAGGAUAUGAACCCCAAAAUCAAACCGUAUAUCGUUCUGUCAAAUUCGAGUACAACAACGACAGCGAAACUUGGAACAGGUAAUAUGCGCGGAGUUUGGGGCUGUCGCUUUUCAAAAGAAUGCCAUUUGAGUUUUACU
rnacentral:lncRNA from 1 species